rnacentral:rRNA from 1 species
GAACGCUGGCGGCAGGCCUAACACCUGCCAGUCGAACGGUAACAGGAAGAAGCUUGCUUCUUUGCUGACGAGUGGCGGACGGGUGAGUAAUGUCUGGGAAACUGCCUGAUGGAGGGGGAUAACUACUGGAAACGGUAGCUAAUACCGCAUAACGUCGCAAGACCAAAGAGGGGGACCUUCGGGCCUCUUGCCAUCGGAUGUGCCCAGAUGGGAUUAGCUAGUAGGUGGGGUAACGGCUCACCUAGGCGACGAUCCCUAGCUGGUCUGAGAGGAUGACCAGCCACACUGGAACUGAGACACGGUCCAGACUCCUACGGGAGGCAGCAGUGGGGAAUAUUGCACAAUGGGCGCAAGCCUGAUGCAGCCAUGCCGCGUGUAUGAAGAAGGCCUUCGGGUUGUAAAGUACUUUCAGCGGGGAGGAAGGGAGUAAAGUUAAUACCUUUGCUCAUUGACGUUACCCGCAGAAGAAGCACCGGCUAACUCCGUG